rnacentral:rRNA from 1 species
UCCGGUCAUUUAGCGAAAUGGUACCACCUUUUCCCAUUCCGAACAGAGAAGUGAAACGUUUCUGCACUGACAAUAGUUGCUCUGCAAAGAGCUAUGAAAAUAGGUCAUGGCCGGAA